rnacentral:rRNA from 1 species
GACGAACGCUGGCGGCGUGCUUAACACAUGCAAGUCGAACGGUAAGGCUCCAGCUUGCUGGGGUACACGAGUGGCGAACGGGUGAGUAACACGUGGGUGACCUGCCCUGCACUUCGGGAUAAGCCUGGGAAACUGGGUCUAAUACCGGAUAGGACCGCACCGUGAGGGUGUGGUGGAAAGUUUUUUCGGUGUGGGAUGGGCCCGCGGCCUAUCAGCUUGUUGGUGGGGUAAUGGCCUACCAAGGCGGCGACGGGUAGCCGGCCUGAGAGGGUGGACGGCCACAUUGGGACUGAGACACGGCCCAGACUCCUACGGGAGGCAGCAGUGGGGAAUAUUGCACAGUGGGCGGAAGCCUGAUGCAGCGACGCCGCGUGGGGGAUGACGGCCUUCGGGUUGUAAACUCCUUUCACCAUCGACGAAGGGUUUCUGACGGUAGAUGGAGAAGAAGCACCGGCUAACUACGUG